AUUGAACGCUGGCGGAAUGCUUUACACAUGCAAGUCGAGCGGCAGCGCGGGGCAACCUGGCGGCGAGCGGCGAACGGGUGAGUAACACAUCGGAACGUAUCCAAUCGUGGGGAUAGCCGGCGAAAGCCGGAUUAAUACCGCAUACGACCUGAGGGUGAAAGUGGGGCGUCGCAAGACCUCACGCGACUGGAGCGGCCGAUGUCCGAUUAGCUAGUUGGUAGGGUAAAGGCCUACCAAGGCGACGAUCGGUAGCUGGUCUGAGAGGAUGAUCAGCCACACUGGGACUGAGACACGGCCC
rnacentral:rRNA from 1 species